UUGGAGGGCAAGUCUGGUGCCAGCAGCCGCGGUAAUUCCAGCUCCAAUAGCGUAUAUUAAAGUUGUUGCAGUUAAAAAGCUCGUAGUUGAAUUUCGGGAUCAAUGUUUCGGUCAUGCCGUUGGUAUGUACUGAUAUUAUUGAUUUCUCACCUUCUAAAGAACCGUAAUGCCAUUAAUUUGGUGUCACGGGGAAUUAGGACUGUUACCUUGAAAAAAUUAGAGUGUUUAAAGCAGGCUAACGCUUGAAUACAUUAGCAUGGAAUAAUGAAAUAGGACAUCCGAUUCUAUUUUGUUGGUUUCUAGGAUCGAUGUAAUGAUUAAUAGGGAUAGUUGGGGGCAUUAGUAUUCAAUUGUCAGAGGUGAAAUUCUUGGAUUUAUUGAAGACUAACUACUGCGAAAGCAUUUGCCAAGGAUGUUUUCAUUAAUCAAGAACGAAAGUUAGGGGAUCGAAGACGAUCAGAUACCGUCGUAGUCUUAACCAUAAACUAUGCCGACUAGGGAUCGGAUGAUGUUAAUUUUUUAAUGACUCAUUCGGCGCCUUACGGGAAAC
rnacentral:rRNA from 2 species